rnacentral:misc_RNA from 1 species
GAUGAAGAACGCAGCGAAAUGCGAUAAGUAAUGUGAAUUGCAGAAUUCAGUGAAUCAUCCAAUCUUUGAACGCACAUUGCGCCCCCUGGUAUUCCGGGGGGCAUGCCUGUUCGAGCGUCAUUUCAACCCUCAAGCUCUGCUUGGUAUUGGGCGUCGCCGGGGAGUCUCCCCGGCGUGCCUCAAAGCCAUCGGCGGUGGUGCCUUUCUCUAAGCGUGGUAGAAUUUUUAUUCGCUUCUGAGUUGGGCUUCGCCUGCCGGACAAACCGGGCCCUCGCGGCCCACCUUCUCAGGUUGACCUCGGAUCAGGUAGGGAUACCCGCUGAACUUAAGCAUAUCAAUAAGCGGAGGA